GUCUCGGUAAUUUAAAGGCUUAGGAUGCUCGUAUGGAAUACAAGAGAUCCGGGUUCGACUUCCGGCCGAGGUA
rnacentral:tRNA from 1 species